AGGACGAACGCUGGCGGCGUGCUUAACACAUGCAAGUCGAGCGGAAAGGCCCUUCGGGGUACUCGAGCGGCGAACAGGUGAGUAACACGUGAGUAAUCUGCCCCUAGCUCUGGGAUAGCUCCGGGAAAACCGGGAUUAAUACCGGAUACGACCACUUUAGACAUCUGUUGUGGUGGAAAGAAUUUUGGCUAGGGAUGAGCUCGCGGCCUAUCAGCUUGUUGGUGGGGUAAUGGCCUACCAAGGCGACGACGGGUAGCCGGCCUGAGAGGGCGACCGGCCACACUGGGACUGAGACACGGCCCAGACUCCUACGGGAGGCAGCAGUGGGGAAUAUUGCGCAAUGGGCGAAAGCCUGACGCAGCGACGCCGCGUGGGGAUGAAGGCCUUCGGGUUGUAACCCCUUUCAGCAGGGACGAAGCGAAAGUGACGGUACCUGCAGAAGAGCGCCGGCUAACUACGCGCCAGCAGCCGC
rnacentral:rRNA from 1 species